UACGGAGGGAGCUAGCGUUGUUCGGAAUUACUGGGCGUAAAGCGCGCGUAGGCGGCUUUGUAAGUUAGAGGUGAAAGCCCGGGGCUCAACUCCGGAACUGCCUUUAAGACUGCAUCGCUAGAAUUGUGGAGAGGUAAGUGGAAUUCCGAGUGUAGAGGUGAAAUUCGUAGAUAUUCGGAAGAACACCAGUGGCGAAGGCGACUUACUGGACACAUAUUGACGCUGAGGUGCGAAAGCGUGGGGAGCAAACAGG
rnacentral:rRNA from 1 species